UACAGAGGUCCCGAGCGUUGUUCGGAUUCACUGGGCGUAAAGGGUGCGUAGGUGGCGUGGUAAGUUUGAUGUGAAAGCUCAGGGCUUAACCCUGAAAUGGCAUUGAAUACUACUAUGCUGGAGGUUUGGAGGGGGGACUGGAAUUCUUGGUGUAGCAGUGAAAUGCGCAGAUAUCAGGAAGAACACCCGUGGCUAAGGCGGUUCUCUAGUACGGUACUGACGCUGAGACGCGAAAGCGUGGGGAGCGAACAGG
rnacentral:rRNA from 1 species